GCGUUGUCCGGAGUUACUGGGCGUAAAGCGCACGCAGGCGGUUCUCUGCGUUCCUGGUGACAGUCUUUGGCUUAACCGAGGAAGGACUGGGAAGACGAGAGAACUUGAGGGCUUCAGAGGGACACGGAAUUCCGGGUGGAGUGGUGAAAUGCGUAGAUAUCCGGAGGAACACCAACAGCGAAGGCAGUGUCCUGGGAAGUCGCUGACGCUCAGGUGCGAAAGCCAG
rnacentral:rRNA from 1 species